rnacentral:tRNA from 2 species
GCCCGCGUAGCUCAGUGGAUAGAGCGCUUGCCUCCGGAGCAAGAGGCCGUAGGUUCGACUCCUACCGCGGGUACCA